GAUCAACAGAUGAAAACACACAUCAUCACCAAGGGCUUGAAAUUCUAGAGACAACCUCAUUCAGAAGGAAAUAAAAUAGAAGUCAUGGUUGGGGGUGGUGGUGCUGCUGGUGGUAGUGACGUGGUAUUUACAACUGGCUUAAAGCCAUUCCUGUAGAAUCCCCACAAACAUUUCACUAUUAAUCUUCAACUCCCUUUAUAAUUAUAUUCCUUUAAGAUUCUGCUGCACUUGAUAAAACCAAGACCUCAGCCCUCAAGCUUCUGAAAGCAGCACAGCAAGUGAUUCCCAUGAAGGCCUGAUGAACACGCUCCACAGCUCUGCUCGAACAAGUCAAGCAUUUCCUGGAAACCCGCCCACAGCCUGUGGGACUCUGUUUAGCAGCUCCCUUCCGAUCACACAUCCUGAAAAUGAAACACACAAUAUGCAGAACUUCACUCAUAAUAUCUGAAUCCACGUUGGUAAUGGAACAACUUAGGCAAAGCACCAUAGCCAUUGGACAGACAGAGUUUAUAGUACCAAGGUUUCAGGGGAACCAGCCCAGGUUGUGCCUCUACAGUCCUCUAAUAUUCUCCUUCCUGUACCCAGGGUCGAAGAGGACUUCAUACAAUGCUCCAUGUUUACUAAAUGCUUCUGACCGACAAUAAUGAAUAACACGUGGACCUCAAGAAUCUCAUUAUCUAGUAGGAGAGAAAGACACAUAGAUAAGUAACUUUUAUUACUAGAGUGUGAUACAUAUGGCUACAGAAGAAUGUAUAAGAUGUGGUGGUGGCACCCCCGUGUCGAAUAGGGGUGGGCGUAGGGGUGGAAUAAACUUCACAGAGCAGUUGUCA
rnacentral:lncRNA from 1 species